rnacentral:tRNA from 1 species
GAUGCAGUACUUCGACGGUAGAGCUUUCGCGUCUUAUGCGAAAAGACCCGGGUUCGACUCCCGGCUGCUUUG